GAAAAAGGGUGAAAAAUGAAAGCUCUUUGACAAGCAUUAACUCUUACUACUUUUAUGUGAUUUGGAGGCAUCUAUUGUAACAUCGUGUAAAUUGGAGCUCAAUUGGAUGUGUUUUGAAGUCAUCUUGGCAUCAAAGGCGUGUUCUGGGGAGUCAUGAGAGAUCAAGAAAGUGAAAAAGACCAAGUUGGAAGUAUCAUGACAUAACCCGAGACCCAAAGGAACAAAAGAUCAGGGCUCACGCUAACACUCGGGCCGUACAAAGGACCAAAACAAGGACAAAAUGAUCAAGGGAUGAGCCAAAAUAGGAAGAAUGUGGGAUUGGAUCAUCACCCGACGCAUUACCAGUACCACGUGACCGACCUCGUGACACAAACUUCUGCGAGCUUGAUCUGCUAGCCACGCAGCACAUCACGCAGUAAAAGAGGUCGUGACAUGAACUUCUACGCGCUAGUUUUGCCUCGUCAUGCAGGCCAUUACCAUGUGGUGGCCUGCGUGACACUCGGGCACUACUGAGUGGUGAGCUGAGUGCGGCUGAAGGAAAAUCUGCAGCUAUAAAUAAGGCUUUGCUCUUAUUUGUUAGGAGAUAGUUUUUUACAGUUUUUUCAAUCUUGUACUUUAGAUUUUAGAGAGAGAAUCCUCAUGAGGAUUCUUAGAAUAAUUUGACACCUUGAUCUAAGAAUUCUUAGGGGGAUUUCAACUACAAUUGAUUGAAGAUUUUCUUGGAGAUUGAAGAUUGUGUUUUCAAAGCUAAGUAUUCAUUU